rnacentral:rRNA from 1 species
GCCGCGAAUUCGCCCUUAGAGUUUGAUCAUGGCUCAGGAUGAACGCUAGCGGCAGGCCUAAUACAUGCAAGUCGAACGGUAAGAUCUCGCUUGCGAGAUACACGAGUGGCGAACGGGUGCGUAACGCGUAUGCAACCUACCUUCAACUGGAGAAUAGCCCCGAGAAAUCGGGAUUAAUACUCCAUAACAUCCAUUUAUCACAUGAUUUUUGGAUUAAAGUUCCAACGGUUGAAGAUGGGCAUGCGUGACAUUAGUUUGUUGGUGAGGUAACGGCUCACCAAGACUACGAUGUCUAGGGGUUCUGAGAGGAUUUCCCCCCACACUGGUACUGAGACACGGACCAGACUCCUACGGGAGGCAGCAGUAAGGAAUAUUGGUCAAUGGACGAAAGUCUGAACCAGCCAUGCCGCGUGCAGGAUGACAGCCCUACGGGUUGUAAACUGCUUUUAUACGGGAAGAAUCCCCUGUACGUGUACAGGGUUGACGGUACCGUACGAAUAAGCAUCGGCUAACUCCGUGCCAGCAGCCGCGGUAAUACGGAGGAUGCAAGCGUUAUCCGGAUUCAUUGGGUUUAAAGGGUGCGUAGGCGGAAUGAUAAGUUAGUGGUGAAAGCCCCCGGCUCAACCGGGGAACUGCCAUU